rnacentral:rRNA from 1 species
AGAGUUUGAUCCUGGCUCAGGACGUACGCUAGCGGCGUGUCUGAAACAUGCAAGUCGAACGGGGUUCAGCAAUGGACCCAGUGGCGAACGGGUGCGUAACACGUAAAGAACCUGCCCUGCAGCGGGGGAUAGCCCUGGGAAACCGGGGGUAAUACCGCAUGAGACCUUUCACUCGCAUGAGAGAAAGGGGAAAGGAAGCAGACGAUAGUUUGAUUUCACUGCAGGAGGGCUUUGCGGCCUAUCAGGUAGUUGGGAGGGUAACGGCCUACCAAGCCAAAGACGGGUAGCUGGUCUGAGAGGAUGGUCAGCCACACUGGGACUGAGAUACGGCCCAGACUCCUACGGGGGGCAGCAGUUUAGAAUAUUGUGCAAUGGGCGAAAGCCUGACACAGCGACGCCGCGUGGGUGACGAAGGCCUUCGGGUCGUAAAGCCCUGUUGGUAGGGAUGAGAAGGGACAGUACCUACCGGGGAAGCCCCGGCUAACUACGUGCCAGCAGCUGCGGUAAUACGUAGGGGGCGAGCGUUGUCCGAAGUUACUGGGCGUAAAGCGCACGUAGGCGGCAUGGUAAGUUGCAUGUAAAAGGCGGCAGCUCAACUGCCGAGUGUGGUGCAAGACUGCCAGGCUUGAGGCAAGUAAAAGAAUGUGGAACUCCGAGUGUAGCGGUGGAAUGCGUAGAGAUUCGGAAGAACACCCAUGGCGAAGGCAGCAUUCUGGACUUGACCUGACGCUGAGGAGCGAAAGCCAGGGGAGCAAACGGGAUUAGAUACCCCGGUAGUCCUGGCUGUAAACGAUGGGUACUAGGUGUAGGAGGUAUCGACCCCUUCUGUGCCGAAGCAAACGCAAUAAGUACCCCGCCUGGGGAGUACGGUCGCAAGGCUAAAACUCAAAGGAAUUGACGG